GUGAAUCAUCGAAUUUUUGAACGCAAAUUGCGCUUCCUGGCAUCCCGGGAAGUAUGCCUGUUUGAGGGUCAGUAUUAAUAAAAAUCGGUGUGUUGCUUCUUUGUGACGCUCCGGAGUUUGGGUCAUCUUAAUAUCCUUAAGGUUUUAAGAGGCUUAAAAUUGACUUUUUUUCCGCAUUUUAGUGGUACAUAAUUUUUUUUUUUUAUUGUUUGGUCUUAAUGUUAAAAUUCCUAUUAGUGGCGACCU
rnacentral:misc_RNA from 1 species